rnacentral:rRNA from 1 species
UUUUGUUUAUAAUUUAAAGUCUAACCUGCCCUAUGAUUUAUUAUUAAAUGGCCGCGAUAUUUUGAUCGUGCAAAGGUAGCAUAAUAAUUAGUUUUUUAAUUGAGAACUGGUAUGAAUGGUUGAACGAGAAAAAAACUGUCUCAAUUUAAAUUAAAUUAGAAUUUUAUUUUUAAGUUAAAAAGCUUAAAUAUUUUUAAAAGACGAGAAGACCCUAUAGAGUUUUAUAUAAUUUAUUAUUUUAAAAAAUUUUAGAAUUUUAAAUUUAAUUAUAAUAAAUUUAUAUUUAAUUGGGGUGAUUAAAAAAUUAAAAAAACUUUUUUUAAAUUUAAACAUAAAUUUAUGAAUAGAUGAUCC